AAAAAAUCUUCUAGGAGCAGCUAACAAGAAUCCUAAUACAGGAGUGUUUAUGGUUGGGUUGAGACACAUUCAGUAGCUGAGUGAUUGACAGCAAGAGGAGCAAGACAUGAGGUAGAUUUGUAUUAUAUUCUCAGUGAAACGGGAUAGCUUUAGAAGCUUUUUAAUAAAAAGGAUAUAUGAUCUAAAUUUCCUACUGUUAAUAAUUAUCAAAUAUAUGGCAAUGCUGGACUUUAGCUGAUCAUCGUGCUUCUGGAAAACAACAAAAAUUGAGAUAUCUGUUCACCACUUUGUGUGUCCAAGGACCACCUACUUUUUACAUGUGACAAGAACUACCCACCUCCACUCUUCAGGAUAGAACAUGCUGAAGAAAAGAGUUGCAAUGAGAAAAUAUAUGGGAACAAAAUACCUAUGCAAUGCAGAAGUCUGCAUAACUGAACCACUCAGAGGAAAAAGAUUGCCAUUUCAGGACACCUCCUACAUCUGAGGAAAUAUGCAUUGAUCUUGCAGUACUUUUCUCCUCCAAAUAAAAGUCAGUAUGAUAACAACUACACUAUCAGAAGUCUAAGCCAAAGGACACUUCAGUUAUCCAAUCUUGCAACAAAUACAUUUAAGCACUUAAUAUGG
rnacentral:lncRNA from 1 species